rnacentral:rRNA from 1 species
UGGGGAAUUUUGGACAAUGGGGCAACCCUGAUCCAGCAAUGCCGCGUGUGUGAAGAAGGCCUUCGGGUUGUAAAGCACUUUUGUCCGGGAAGAAAUCCCCUGCCCUAAUACGGCGGGGGAUGACGGUACCGGAAGAAUAAGCACCGGCUAACUACGUGCCAGCAGCCGCGGUAAUACGUAGGGUGCGAGCGUUAAUCGGAAUUACUGGGCGUAAAGCGUGCGCAGGCGGUGAUGUAAGACCGAUGUGAAAUCCCCGGGCUCAACCUGGGAACUGCAUUGGUGACUGCAUUGCUCGAGUAUGGCAGAGGGGGUGGAAUUCCACGUGUAGCAGUGAAAUGCGUAGAGAUGUGGAGGAACACCGAUGGCGAAGGCAGCCCCCUGGGCCAAUACUGACGCUCAUGCACGGAAGCGUGGGGAGCAAACAGGAUUAGAUACCCUGGUAGUCCACGCCCUAAACGAUGUCAACUGGUUGUCGGGCCUUCAUUGGCUUGGUAACGUAGCUAACGCGUGAAGUUGACCGCCUGGGGAGUACGGUCGCAAGAUUAAAACUCAAAGGAAUUGACGGGGUCAUAGCUGUUUCCU